GGGGAUUUAGCUCAGCGGUAGAGCGCUUGCCUAGCAAGCGAAAGGCCCUGGGUUCGGUCCCCAGCUCCG
rfam:Rattus norvegicus chromosome 7, whole genome shotgun sequence.